rnacentral:rRNA from 1 species
UACGGAAGGGGCGAGCGUUGUUCGGAAUCAUUGGGCGUAAAGGGCGCGUAGGUGGUUCUGUAUGCCUACCGUGAAAGCGUACGGCUCAACCGUAUUUUGUCGGUAGAAACUGCAGGACUUGAGGCUGGGAGGGGCUGGUGGAAUUCCCUGUGUAGCGGUGAAAUGCGUAGAGAUGGGGGAGAACACUCGUGGCGAAGGCGGCCAGCUAGACCAGUUCUGACACUGAGGCGCGACAGCGUGGGGAGCAAACAGG